UUUACCCUGCAGAGAUCUGAGGAGCAGUUAACCAUAGUCCUCAUAAAUCCACCGCAGUUUAAAAUUCAACACAAAGAAAGCGGAAGUUAGCGGACAUCCGGGCGAAAAGAGCGUGAUCCAGGGGAAUUUCCGGCAGCACCGGAGCAAUCCCGAAAGUGGAACGUUGUGGAUAUAGACUAGGUGUUUGCUUCCCGG